UACAGAGGGGGCAAGGCGUUAUUCGGAAUUUAUUGGGCGUAAAGGGCGCGUAGGCGGUAUGGCAAGUGGAAGGUGAAAUACCCCGUCGGCUUAACCCGGAGGAACUGACCCUCCAAACUGCUUUACUUGAGGCCGGGAGAGGUGAGUGGAAUUCCCAGUGUAGCGGUGAAAUGCGUAGAUAUUGGGAGGAACACCAGUGGCGAAGGCGGCUCACUGGACCGGUUCUGACGCUGAAGCGCGAAAGCGGUGGGGAGCAAACGGG
rnacentral:rRNA from 1 species